rnacentral:rRNA from 1 species
CCCGUUGAACUCAAUUAUCCGAGCGGCGAUAUUCACCUGCGCGGUCCCCUCACGGGGCGCCGCCAGGGCACUUAUCGUGCGCAGUGUGCGGACAUCGCGAUCCAUUACGAACCCUUGAACGCAAUUCCAGCACCCCGGCCCCUGGCCCGUGUUGUCGACCCCCGGGCGGUCCGCGGCUUCGCCGUGUGUCCGCGUGGCGGGGGAACCGUGCGCUCGCGCGCACUCUUCGACCGGGCGCGGUGUGCCGCUGGAAGCGUGAUGGACUCACAGUCGCGGUGGGAGACGGUAGCGUAUGCUGCGGCAUACACCGGCACCUAGCCAUGGGCCACCGGCUUGUCUCUCCCGAUCGGCGAUGCAUAAACGUGAAUUGAGGUACCUCCGGG